GCUUCCAUAGCUCAGCGGUAGAGCACUUCCAUGGUAAGGAAGGGGUCGCCGGUUCAAGUCCGGCUGGAAGCU
rnacentral:tRNA from 5 species